UGUUUCCGUAGGUGAACCUGCAGAUGGAUCAUCGU
rnacentral:rRNA from 1 species